GGCUCUGUAGUGAAAUUCAUGUUGAGUUGCAAGCUCAUUGAUGUGCAUCAAGAAUGUACCGGAGCCU
rnacentral:tRNA from 1 species